rnacentral:rRNA from 1 species
AGUGAACGCUGGCGGUAGGCCUAACACAUGCAAGUCGAACGGCAGCACAGUAAGAGCUUGCUCUUACGGGUGGCGAGUGGCGGACGGGUGAGGAAUACAUCGGAAUCUACUUUUUCGUGGGGGAUAACGUAGGGAAACUUACGCUAAUACCGCAUACGCCCUACGGGUGAAAGCAGGGGAUCUUCGGACCUUGCGCGAUUGAAUGAGCCGCUGUCGGAUUAGCUAGUUGGCGGGGUAAAGGCCCACCAAGGCGACGAUCCGUAGCUGGUCUGAGAGGAUGAUCAGCCACACUGGAAAUGAGACACGGUCCAGACUCCUACGAGAGGCAGCAGUGGGGAAUAUUGGACAAUGGGCGCAAGCCUGAUCCAGCCAUACCGCGUGGGUGAAGAAGGCCUUCGGGUUGUAAAGCCCUUUUGUUGGGAAAGAAAAGCAGCAGGUUAAUACCCCGCUGUUCUGACGGUACCCAAAGAAUAAGCACCGGCUAACUUCGUG